rnacentral:lncRNA from 1 species
CUCCGCAGGGCGCAGCUUUAUACGACCGCAGAGGUUGAACCCUGAACGGUUGGGGCAAGUAUGGACACAAUAUUCAAGCUGGAUUCAGCUCUAAAUUUGGAUUGUGAUUAAAUAGUUGACACAGCAUAGGUUUCUGACACAGAAUGAAUGUGGUCUAAUGAGCUUAAAAUAUUUUUUUUGCCUUUGAGCAAUUCACUAUGCUGUUGAAUAUUAAUCCUCUCAAAAAAAUGUUUGAAGAAAUUUUCUUUUUAUUCAUGAAAUCUGAAAUGAGAAAAAUUUAACCCCCCACCCCCAUUUGUUUUCACAUCCCCCUUUCCCUUUUUCCAAAACUGAUCUCAAUUCAAAUUUCUAAUGGAGUUUGCAACAAUAAC